ACGACUGCUAAGCCCCGAUGAACCGAAAGGGAAAAUAUUUAUAGCCUGAAGAUGAGCUCGCGGCCUAUCAGCUUGUUGGUGGGGUGAUGGCCUACCAAGGCGGUGACGGGUAGCCGGCCUGAGAGGGUGGACGGUCACACUGGGACUGAGACACGGCCCAGACUCCUACGGGAGGCAGCAGUGGGGAAUAUUGCACAAUGGGCGCAAGCCUGAUGCAGCGACGCCGCGUGAGGGAUGGAGGCCUUCGGGUUGUAAACCUCUUUCGCCAGUGAAGCAGGCCUGCUCCUUGUGGGUGGGUUGACGGUAGCUG
rnacentral:rRNA from 1 species